ensembl:snRNA U6 U6 spliceosomal RNA
CGACACAGACGAUUAGCAUGGUCCCUGCGCGAGGAUGACACACAGAUUUAUGAAGUGUUCCAUAUUUUG